rnacentral:pre_miRNA from 11 species
UUAAAGAAUGUUCCAUGCAUUCUGUUGUCCUUCAUUCCACCGGAGUCUGUCUCAUACCUAAUCAGAUUUCAGUGGCAUGAAGUACAUGAGACAUGGAGUUGA